rnacentral:rRNA from 1 species
CAGUAGCCGCGGUAAUACGAAGGGGGCUAGCGUUGUUCGGAUUUACUGGGCGUAAAGCGCACGUAGGCGGACUUUUAAGUCAGGGGUGAAAUCCCGGGGCUCAACCCCGGAACUGCCUUUGAUACUGGAAGUCUUGAGUAUGGUAGAGGUGAGUGGAAUUCCGAGUGUAGAGGUGAAAUGCGUAGAUAUUCGGAGGAACACCAGUGGCGAAGGCGGCUCACUGGACCAUUACUGACGCUGAGGUGCGAAAGCGUGGGGAGCAAACAGGAUUAGAUACCCGAGUAGUCCCUGUCUCUUAUAC